ACUCAACAGGAUAGCUCAGUCAGUAGAGCAUGAGACUUUGAAUCUCAGGGCUGUGAGUUUGAGCCCCACGUUGAGCA